rnacentral:lncRNA from 12 species
UUUUUAUCAGGUUUAAUGUCCUCAUCGAGAGCUUUGUCAGUGAACAGCAGGUGAGGUGAGCAGGCCGGGCUGAGGGCUGGGACAGGUGACACCGGGACUGGGACAGGUGACAUUGGGGCAGGUUACACUGGGGCUGGGACAGGUGACAUUGGGGUAGGUGACACUGGGGCUGGGGCAGGUGACACUGGGACAGGUGACCCCGGAACUGGGACAGGUGACAUGGGGGCAGGUGACACUGGGACAGGUGACACCACACAGGAAUUCAAAAUUUUUAUCAGGUUUAAUGUCCUCAUCGAGAGCUUUGUCAGUGAACAGCAGGUGAGGUGAGCAGGCCGGGCUGAGGGCUGGGACAGGUGACACUGGGACUGGGACAGGUGACAUUGGGGCAGGUGACACGGGGCUGGGACAGGUGACACUGGGGAUGGUGACACUGGGGCUGGGACAGGUGACACUGGGGCAGGUUACACUGGGACUGGGACAGGUGACAUUGGGGCAGGUGACACGGGGCUGGGACAGGUGACACUGGGACAGGUGACACUGGGACAGGUGACAUUGGGACAGGUGACACUGGGACAGGUGACACCAGGGCUGGAGAAGCGCUCAUGGGACCGUGAGGAACCCAAAUGCAGAGUCACGGACCGGGGGCACUGAGCAAAGUGAGCA